rnacentral:lncRNA from 1 species
ACAGUUGCCCUCGCCUUAGGAUCUCUGGCCACACCCCUCAGGGAGUAGCCAAGGGCACAUACCCACAGGCAAAAAAUAUAAACAAGGUCUUCUUGUCACCAUCUGAGACUUGGAAGAAGGUCUGACUCAGGCGGGGAGAUGUGUUGGCCUCAUCCAACCCAGGCACGCCUGCCACGGAGAGUGUGAGGGCUGGAAGGGACCCGGAUGUGAGUGAGUGGGUACAGGAAAGAGGCUACAGCUAGUUGAAUCAAUGCAUGUGGACCGCACAGUUACAGAGGAGCAGUAUAACUGAGAUGACUUUUCUGGAUCCCACACUUGGAGACUCUGGUGUCAGCUCUGCGCUCUGAAAUGGCUCUCAUCUAAAGCUAUGGCCAACCCUCUGGCUGAGACAUCCUCCAAGGAUACACUGGCCUGGGGCAUUCCUCACAUCGUCUCCUGGGGCAGAAGUUGUGUUCAUCUUUUCUGCGUUGGGGAACUGGCUCAAAAGCUGCAUCUGGAAGUCUUCUCUUCGCUCAUAUUCCUUGCCUCGGUAGAUGAACACUUUGUUCUGGAGAGAAAGGAGACCUGUCAGAGACACCAGGGCCUGGGGGAAUGCGGGGCAUAUAACUCAUUUGAAACAGUACCUACUUCACAGUGGCAGUCUAAGAAGUUAGUGGGAAAGGCUGGCAAAGUCUCCUGAGGUGGGAGGGCAGUUAGCAUUUUACAGUUGUUAUCACUCUGGUGCAAUGACAUCCUUGCCCACCUAAGCUGCUGAGCUGAAGAGGCCAGGCUGAUGGAAACACAGCGUCUCAGAUGGGCAGGCAGGAAUGGCAUGACCCUGGGGUACUGUACUUGGCUUUUCCUAUCACCCCAACACCCCAAGGUUCAUGCAUCAAGAGGUUAGAGAGAAGCAGCAUACGCCAGCUUGUCAGGACACAGCUCACCUGAAGUGCCUUCCGCACUCCCCUGGGGGUGCAGCAGGCUCACUGAAUCUGGAAUCCUACUGCACUUCAACGUUAGUUGUGCUGCGUGGGGUAAACAAAUCAUAGAGCAGCAAGAAGGCUCAGCUGACAAAGGAUGAAGCCGGGGCUCAGAAGUUGGCUCAGGUUGAAUGGUGUUUCUCUUCCUUACUGGCAUUGCAAUGAUGAGGUAUUUUAUCACAGCAAUUCGAAUGGAACUAGAACAGGCAACAUCUCUAGAGCAAUACCUCCUCGCCCAGAUCAAUAAGGACUUCUCCCAGAGUGCCUGGUACACAGCUCCAAAAGGGAAAGCGGCCCUGAUGAACUCCACCCCUGGCUUUGUACUAGCUCAUGCUAUCUGUUCCUUUUCCUGCCAGUAAUCUAGCCUUCCUAACAGCAGCUCUGGGUUAUUCUUUGGAGAACUACCUUCUCCAUUACUUUCCUAGAUCCCUGUUGUUUGGGUAGAAUUGACCAUACUACCUCCAGUUCAGAAGGCAGAUCAUAAGAUCAAAGCUUGACUUAAAAAUGCCUUUCAUUUUUUUCUGCCACCAGAGGUUUACGGAUGAACAUGUAGCCCAAACCAGACUUUGAAGAUUAGCCUUGGGAAUUACACUGCACUGACUGGAAAAAAAUAAAAAACCUUCUCUCGG